rfam:Myotis davidii contig82552, whole genome shotgun sequence.
ACAGCAUAUAUUAUAAACAGCAUUUCAUUCCUUGAAGUACACUUUUCAUAAGACAUCUUCAUUAAGUAGGUAAGAC